UGAGAAAGGCCUGAUGAUUACCAUCCCCUUGAGAGUUCCCCUUCCUUGAAUGGCCAUGGGGCCCUCCAAGAAAACAGAUGUGAAGGCCCUUCUAAAUAGCAAAGCCAUAUAUAAGCAUCCGGUGUAACUAACACAGAUGGCUUCACACUCAUGGAGGGCUUAUCUCAAAAGUUUUGCAAGCCUACGUUCCCAGACUCUCCCAAGUUUCAUCUGGGUAUAUGACCACCCAAAAGAGGACAACAUUGCCCACCUAUGUUGCAGCUCAGUACAGUCAUGAGAUGAAGUUCCAGAGGUGGAAAUGAUGUGUAUAUCUCCCAUCGCCCAUUCUUUUAAAAAAGCUGUUUGUGCCUUUCACUUCCUCCUUUUCUUUUUUUUCCUGUGGGUUGGGACCUGGAUGUGGCAGUGAUGAAACAACUUUGACCAUUCAGAAGAGAAUCUUAUCCCGAGGAGUGGCUGAGCCGCAAGGCAGAAGGGAUAAUGGCCCUGGAUGACAUAGAAGAGAGCAAAAUACCUAUUUUGAAUGAAUGGCCUGUUCACUCUUGUUAAGUGCAAAAUUUGUAUCAUGCUGGAAUCAUUGUACUUUCGGCUUAGCUGUGCCCUAAAAUAAUGUGUUAUGUAUUAAACUAUAG
rnacentral:lncRNA from 1 species